GCUCUCGUGGCGCGGUGGAUGUGCUCGCGCUCCGUGUGCUGGAGGUCGCGGGUUCGACUCCCGGUCGCGCCCG